rnacentral:rRNA from 1 species
UACGGGGGAGCAAGCGUUGUUCGGAUUUACUGGGCGUAAAGGGCGCGUAGGCGGUCAGCACAAGUCAGUUGUGAAAUCUCCGGGCUUAACCCGGAAAGGUCAACUGAUACUGUGCGUCUAGAGUGCGGAAGGGGCAACUGGAAUUCUCGGUGUAGCGGUGAAAUGCGUAGAUAUCGAGAGGAACACCUGCGGCGAAGGCGGGUUGCUGGGCUGACACUGACGCUGAGGCGCGAAAGCUAGGGGAGCGAACGGG